CCUACGGGGCGCAGCAGUGGGGGAUAUUGCACAAUGGGGGAAACCCUGAUGCAGCGACGCCGCGUGGGCGAAGAAGUAUUUCGGUAUGUAAAGCCCUAUCAGCAGGGAAGAAGAAAUGACGGUACCUGAGUAAGAAGCACCGGCUAAAUACGUGCCAGCAGCCGCGGUAAUACGUAUGGUGCAAGCGUUAUCCGGAUUUACUGGGUGUAAAGGGAGCGUAGACGGCAUAGCAAGUCUGAAGUGAAAGCCCGUGGCUCAACCGCGGAACUGCUUUGGAAACUGUUAAGCUGGAGUACUGGAGAGGC
rnacentral:rRNA from 1 species